AUUUCCCGGGGUGCUUUGCUCGCUUUUUUUUUAGUAGUUUAAGAAGGAGAAAGAAGGCGGAUUUUCAUCAAGACUAAUGGAAAGCAGCAGCAGCACUGGCAGUAGUGCUGAGUACAGCUAUGGAGCAGGGAGCAUACAGAGGAGUUGAUAAAACUCCGUGGGCAAAAUGACCACCUCUUUACCGGGGCCAA